AAAGCGGGAAUUGUGUGGGGGGCGCGGAUAAAGUUUUUUUUUUUCUUUGGGACCCCCCCGGGGGGAAAAGGGGUCUUUGUGGUUUUUUUUUGCCCCUGGGGUUAGGAAAAAUUAGGGGGGCGAACGGGGAUUUAUAUCCCCCGGUUGUCCUAGCUUUAACCGUGAACCACUUGAUUGAAGGGCCCCCCCCUUAGGCUUUCCGUUGGAAGGGAAAGGAUUAAGUGUUUCCGCCUGGGGGGUUAUGUCGCCAAGGGUUAAAAUUCAAAGGAAUUGACGGGGGCUCCCACAAACCGGUGGAGGAUGUGGCUUAAUUGGAGGCUACGCGAAGACCUUUAUCCUAGUCUUGACAUGCACGGAUCAACCCGGUGAAAGCCGGGCCACGCCUUCGGGUGGAACGUGCACAGGUGCUGCAUGGCUGUCGUCAGCUCGUGUCGUGAGAUGUCGGGUUAAGUCCCUUAACGAGCGAAACCCUUGUCUCUAGUUGCCAGCGAGUAAUGUCGGGGACUCUAGAGAGACCGCCGGUGUUAAACCGGAGGAAGGUGGGGAUGACGUCAAGUCCUCAUGGCCUUUAUGACUAGGGCUGCACACGUCCUACAAUGCUGCGCACAAAGGGAUGCAAAAUCGUGAGAUCGAGCAAAUCCCAAAAAACGCAGCUCAGUUCGGAUUGCAGGCUGCAACUCGCCUGCAUGAAGCUGGAAUCGCUAGUAAUCGUAGGUCAGCAUACUACGGUGAAUAUGUUCCUGAGCCUUGUACACACCGCCCGUCAAGCCACGAAAGUGGGGGGGGCUUAAAGUCGCUACGCUAACCGUAAGGAAGCAGGCGCCUAGAGUCAACUCCGCGAUUGGGACUAAGUCGUAACAAGGUAGCCGUAGGGGAACCUGCGGCUG
rnacentral:rRNA from 1 species